rnacentral:rRNA from 1 species
AGUGAACGCUGGCGGUAGGCCUAACACAUGCAAGUCGAACGGCAGCACAGUAAGAGCUUGCUCUUACGGGUGGCGAGUGGCGGACGGGUGAGGAAUACAUCGGAAUCUACUUUUUCGUGGGGGAUAACGUAGGGAAACUUACGCUAAUACCGCAUACGACCUACGGGUGAAAGCAGGGGAUCUUCGGACCUUGCGCGAUUGAAGGAGCCGAUGUCGGAUUAGCUAGUUGGCGGGGUAAAGGCCCACCAAGGCGACGAUCCGUAGCUGGUCUAAGAGGAUGCUCAGCCACACUGGAACUGAGACACGGUCCAGACGCCUUCGGGCGGCAGCAGUGCGGACUAUUGGACCAUGGGCGCAAGCCUGAUCCAGCCAUGCCGCGUGGGUGAAGAAGGCCUUCGGGUUGUAAAGCCCUUUUAUUGGGGAAGAAAAGCAGCAGGUUAAUACCGCGCUGUUCUGACGGUACCCAAAGAAUAAGCACCGGCUAACUUCGUG